rnacentral:lncRNA from 1 species
GCUACAGUAGCCUAGAUAGGCAUAAAGAUUAAUAGGUUACAGUAGCCUAGAUAGGCAUAAAGAUUAAUAGGCUACAGUAGCCUAGAUAGGCAUAAAGAUUAAUAGGCUACAGUAGCCUAGAUAGGCAUAAAGAUUAAUAGGCUACAGUAGCCUAGAUAGGCAUAAAGAUUAAUAGGCUACAGUAGCCUAGAUGGGCAUAAAGAUUAAUAGGCUACAGUAGCCUAGAUAGGCAUAAAGAUUAAUAGGCUACAGUAGCCUAGAUAGGCAUAAAGAUUAAUAGGCUACAGUAGCCUAGAUAGGCAUAAAGAUUAAUAGGCUACAUUAGCCUAGAUAGGCAUACAGAUUAAUAGGCUACAGUAGCCUAGAUAGGCCUAAAGAUUAAUAGGCUACAGUAGCCUAGAUAGGCAUAAAGAUUAAUAGGCUACAGUAGCCUAGAUAGGCAUACAGAUUAAUAGGCUACAGUAGCCUAGAUAGGCAUACAGAUUAAUAGGCUACUUGAUGUUCAACAGAUGUUUAAUUCUCCACAUUUAAUGUCAGUUUCAUUGUGGAGUUUUUCUCAUAACAGAAGCACAUGAUGGAGUUCCAGAACUUUCUUUUCACAUUUCCACUCCAGAGACCCAAGAACUGAG